AACCUACUAGACUAGAUGGUGGAAAUUGCCAAUUCAUUGCAUGAGUAUAUGCUCUACAGAAACAAGGCGAUUGCAGACUAUCUGAGUAGCAACGGAUAUCAAGAUGCCCUGGAAGCGUUCAAGAAGGAAGCUGACAUGCCUGGUGAGGUGGAGCGGAAAUACGGUGGGUUGCUCGAGAAGAAGUGGACUUCAGUCAUAAGACUACAAAAAAAGGUCAUGGAACUCGAGUCGAAACUAUCAGAGGCAGAAAAAGAAUUUAUUGAGGGAGCGCCUACUAGGGGUAAGAGAUCACCGACCGAAUGGAUUCCGAGGCCACCUGAAAAGUUCUGUCUCUCUGGGCAUAGGGCGCCUGUAAACAGAGUAAUUUUCCACCCAGUAUUCAGCCUUAUGGUUUCUGCCAGUGAAGACGCCACGCUAAAGGUGUGGGAUUUCGAAAGCGGAGAAUUUGAGCGAACACUCAAAGGCCACACGGACAGUGUUCAAGAUAUUGCAUUCGAUACUACUGGAAAGCUCUUGGUAUCCUGCAGCGCUGACAUGUCAAUCAAGCUGUGGGACUUUCAACAGUCAUUUGCCUGCAUCAAGACGAUGCACGGGCAUGACCACAACGUUAGUUCGGUAGCAUUCAUGCCGCAAGGAGACUUUAUUGUCAGCGCGUCACGGGACAAGACCAUAAAAAUGUGGGAGGUUGCUACUGGUUAUUGUGUAAAAACGCUUGCGGGGCACAGAGAAUGGGUCCGUAUGGCACGGGUGAGUCCUUGCGGCGAACUGAUUGCAAGCUGCUCAAACGACCAGACUGUCAGGGUAUGGCACGUUGCAACUAAAGAAACCAAGGUCGAACUGAGGGACCACGAUCAUGUUGUGGAAUGUAUCGCGUGGGCCCCGGAAACAUCGCGUGGAGCGAUCAACGCUGCAGCUGGAGCAGACAAUAAAGGGGCACACGAGGGACCCUUCCUGGCAUCUGGAUCCCGAGACAAGACAAUACGCGUGUGGGACGUUGGGGCUGGGGUAUGUCUAUUCACUCUCCAAGGGCAUGAUAACUGGGUACGUGGAAUAGUGUUCCACCCAGGUGGUAAAUAUAUAGUCAGUGCAUCAGACGAUAAGACGCUGCGGGUAUGGGACACCCGCAACAAACGGUCAAUGAAGACGCUUGAGGCACACAUGCACUUCUGCACGUCUGUUGAUUUUCACAAGAGCCAUCCAUACGUGGUAAGCGGUAGCGUGGAUCAGACGGUAAAGGUUUGGGAAUGCCGCUAGUCACCCAGUUUCUGAAAUUACUGAAACUUAACAAAAGUCCAGUUCCAUAUGGGGAUGGCACAGAACUUGACAGUUUCUUCUGGAACAUCGAUUAUUGUCCAAACGCAAGUCUUCAUCCAAAACCUAAGCUCGAGAAGUUCUGAAGUUGACCUGGCUCUACUAUUUACGUAACGCUAUUACUUUAUUUAUAUACAUACACGUAUAAUAUACUAUUGCUAUGCUAUACUAUUCUACUACACAUUGAAUAUUAACCAUUAAUCUACCUUAUACCCUAUUGUGACUACUGUACUCAAAUUAUCUAUUUCAUCACACUAAAAAAUUGAACAAAAUUUUAAGAACCCAGUAUACAUAUACUUUGAUUACAAUUAAUUGCCCAGCAAUGAGAAAUCGUUAUGAUUAUACUAAUUUGAAUUAGAAAAUUGCGGUAAUAUAAUAAUAUUCUUUACCAAUAACGUUUUGAUCUAUGGUCAAGCGUAACGUUGGACUGGCUGCUGUUACUCAAAUGAUUUUUGACGUUAAAUUCUUCGCGUUCUUACCAAGAUUUAAUUUCUCAAUUUCGGUGGAAAGUUUGUUGGAAUUUGUAACGUCAACUUUUUUUCAAUGCUGGACAAACUUCUUGACGUGCAUUAUUAACGUAAUAUUACUAUAUACAGUAAAUUAAUAGCAAAUUACCAAUAAAAUUUGUGAAAUUGAAAAAUAUUGAUUACACUUGUGUAUGGAGAUCAUAAUUUCUGUAGCUUAACAAUGAAUGGGGUGUGAAACGAAGUAUACUAGGAUACUAAGUAGGAUAGUACUGUUAUAAUAUGAGUAGGAACACUUGGAAUACGUGUAGAAAUUAGAGCACACACAUACGACUUGCAACCAAAUAGACGUGAUGAAUAAUAAUUAAUUUUAAAAUA
rnacentral:misc_RNA from 1 species